rnacentral:rRNA from 1 species
AUUUAUUGCACGUGGUAGGAGAGCGUUCUGUAGGCCUGUGAAGGUGUCUGGUAACGGAUGCUGGAGGUAUCAGAAGUGCGAAUGCUGACAUGAGUAGCGUUAAAGGGGGUGAAAAGCCCCCUCGCCGUAAGCGCAAGGUUUUCUACGCAACGUUCAUCGGCGUAGAGUGAGUCGGCCCCUAAGGCGAGGCAGAGAUGCGUAGCUGAUGGGAAACAGGUCAAUAUUCCUGUACCGAUGUGUAGUGCGAUGUGGGGACGGAGAAGGUUAGCUCAGCCAACUGUUGGAUAUGUUGGUUCAAGCCUGUAGUCGUGCCCGGUAGGCAAAUCCGCCGGGCUUAGAUGAGGGGUGAUAACGAGGCUGCUUGCAGCCAAAGUGAGUGAUACCCUGCUUCCAGGAAAAGCCACUAAGCUUCAGCUACACACGACCGUACCGCAAACCGACACUGGUGCGCGAGAUGAGUAUUCUAAGGCGCUUGAGAGAACUCAGGAGAAGGAACUCGGCAAAUUGAUACCGUAACUUCGGGAGAAGGUAUGCCCCAAGUAGGUGAACCUGUACAAGGCGAGCCCAAAGGGGUUGCAAAAAAUCGGUGGCUGCGACUGUUUAAUAAAAACACAGCACUCUGCAAACACGAAAGUGGACGUAUAGGGUGUGACGCCUGCCCGGUGCUGGAAGAUUAAAUGAUGGGGUGCAAGCUCUUGACUGAAGUCCCAGUAAACGGCGGCCGUAACAAUAACGGUCCUAAGGUAGCAAAAUUCCUUGUCGGGUAAGUUCCGACCUGCACGAAUGGCGUAACGAUGGCCACACUGUCUCCUCCUGAGACUCAGCGAAGUUGAAAUGUUUGUGAUGAUGCAAUCUCCCCGCGGAAAGACGGAAAGACCCCAUGAACCUUUACUGUAGCUUUGUAUUGGACUUUGAACAGAUCUGUGUAGGAUAGGUGGGAGGCUUUGAAGUGAGGUCGCUAGAUCUCAUGGAGCCAACGUUGAAAUACCACCCUGGUGUGUUUGAGGUUCUAACCUAGGUCCAUUAUCUGGAUCGGGGACAGUGCAUGGUAGGCAGUUUGACUGGGGCGGUCUCCUCCCAAAGCGUAACGGAGGAGUUCGAAGGUACGCUAGUUACGGUCGGACAUCGUGACGAUAGUGCAAUGGCAUAAGCGUGCUUAACUGCGAGACUGACAAGUCGAGCAGAUGCGAAAGCAGGACAUAGUGAUCCGGUGGUUCUGUAUGGAAGGGCCAUCGCUCAACGGAUAAAAGGUACUCUGGGGAUAACAGGCUGAUACCGCCCAAGAGUUCAUAUCGACGGCGGUGUUUGGCACCUCGAUGUCGGCUCAUCUCAUCCUGGGGCUGUAGCCGGUCCCAAGGGUAUGGCUGUUCGCCAUUUAAAGAGGUACGUGAGCUGGGUUUAAAACGUCGUGAGACAGUUUGGUCCCUAUCUUCCGUGGGCGCUGCAGAUUUGAGGAAGCCUGCUCCUAGUACG